AAUAUGUAAAAUAAAUAAGUUUGUGUGAGAAAUCAUAUACCUACUUUAAAGGAAAAAUUUCUUGUAACUGCGUAUGCCAAAUAUUCAGAGUAUAGCAAUUCAGUGUGACCAGAGGGUAUAUUAAUACAUUAUAAUAUUAUUACAAUGCAUACAUUAAUAGGUACAUGGGUGCAAUACUGAAUACUCAACUGUUCGCGCAGGUUUAUGUGUUGCAUAACUUUCUGGGUAAUUUCCGAACAAAUAUCUUGGUCACGUUCCGAUCGUAUGAUUUUAUUUCCAUUUCAUCUUCUCUUUGACCACUUCAUUAUUUUUGGAAUGAAUUUUGCGUAUUUCACACAUUUGUGCGUCAUUGUUCAUUAUCAAAUAUAAUUUCGAAAUAAAUCACAAUUUUCGAACGAGCAGAAAAAGAUAAAUUUCCUCGAAGCUAACGUUUCUGGACUAAAUAUUCGCAAGGAGACUGUUGAUUAAUAUGUUAUCAAGUCACAUUAUAUGUCAAAUUGACAGAAAUAAUUCAAACUGAAAUUUGAAUUGAAGACAUUUGAAUGUUGAUUGAAUAAUUCACUUAGAAUGUUGUUUCUUUAAUUUCAGAGAAACACUUCAAUUGGUUAUUCAGUAACAGUUUUUUUGGGAUAUAACAUUAUAUAUUCAUUCGAAGGUUAUUUAAAAUUGACAUAGGAAAUUUUCCACUUUUUUUUCAAGAUGAUUUUUCUUAUAAUUUUAGCGGCCUUUGGUUAUAAAGUUGAAACCUUCAGUAUAUCCUAUAUCGAGUUAUUUACUCAAAAUCAACUCAAGAAUAACUUCCUCACAAUCAUUGGCAUAUAAAAAAAACAUUCGUUAUGAGAGUUAAGUGGAGUAAUUUAGAGGCUAAGUAUGUCUCUAAAAUUACCAAAAUUAAGGCUAUAUUAUUAUUAUCAUGUUUUUAAUUAAUAAUUUUAUCAAAAUAAGUCUUUCAAAAAAUAAUCGAUGGAUGCAUUCUUAACUUAUUUACAUAGAAAUAAAUAUAAACCUUUUCACAAUUUUCAAAUUGAAAAAAAAAAGAUAUUCUUAGUAAUUCUGUUCGCUGUUCACCAUUAUUUCAAUAAUAAAUACAUAUUAUAUA